AUGAAGCUCCUUUGUUGGAACAUUAGGGGCUUUGACCUCACUGGCUGGCGGCGGCAGCUCAUAGAGUAUUUGCGACAAGAAGAGAUUGACAUUAUGGGACUUCAGGAGAUGAUUCGCAAGGACUUUAGUAUGCAUGAGCUCCAAGGGCUCUCUCGCCACUAG
rnacentral:rRNA from 1 species